AAAAAAAAAAAAAAAAAAAUUCUGUGGCACCCUCCUGGAGACGGGUCUGUUUUUAGCUUCCACACCAUUAAUAGUUUAAUCUCUUAAGUCACAAGUAAGGAAAGGGAGUCACAUACGACAGCAAAAGCCCGCAGUUCCCAGCAAAAGCCAGAGGCAAAUGAGAACCCACGAAGAACCCAGAGUUCACACCACAACCUGUGCGCUGGUCGGGGUGACCCAUGCUGGACCUCCACAGAACAUGGGGCCAUUCAGCUAACUCAGUAAACACUUGCUGAGCAUCUGACCUGAGCCAGGUCCUGUGCUGACAUCUAGGACUUUCUACCCUUAAGGAGCUGUGGCUUUUUCUCUAGUUGGUGAGACAGAUGGAAACCCCUUCAGUUCCACUACAGAUAUUUUUGAAAUACCUGUUAUGUGCCAGGCACUUUCUGAACUCGAGGUACCGCAGUGAACCAGACAGGUGUUAUCUAUGCCCUCCUGGGGCUUCUAAGCCUUCAGAGAAGAUAGACACUGUACAGGUGAGUUAAGUGCUCCAAAGAGUAUGGCUCCUGGUGUGUAAGGGUUCAAAUAUCUGUUGAUAGAAAGGAUAAAGGCCAUGUCAUCUUUAUUCUUUCUCACAGGGCCCAGCAUGGGGCCUAACACAGUUAGACUUAAGUAAAUGGAUUCAACUCACUGGUCCCCAGCACUGUCCUCUGCAUGAUGUUACCGAAAUGGAGACAACCAAAACUAACUGGACAACUUAGUCAGCUGGACUGGAAGACUGCACUUCCAAAUGGAAAGAACCUGUCCAGCUUGGCCGUGGACCCUAGGAGGAUGAGGGACACGUACAGCAGAGAUGCCCACCAGCUUGCCAACCCCUGAGUGAGCCCAGCCAAGGUCAAAAAAUACAGAAAAGAAAGAAUCUACCACAGAUACCCUUUUAUUAGAUCAGAAGAGAGAAAGCUUGUAGACGCCUCGUGAACUCACCCCUUCCACUGCGAAGUGCCAGACCCUGGGCUGGACACCGUGGGAGAGGCCAGCUGGGCAAGUCUGUCCUUCGGGGAGGUCUGGGGUGUUUGGGGAAGGGAGAUAGGGACACACAAUCCUCACAACAACUGCAAAAAGAAGUGUGAGCACGUGGGGGCAGAGGGAGCGUCAGUCAGACGGGAGGUGAUCGGGACUGGAGAGAGAUGUCCCAGAGGAGGUGGCUUGGGCAGGUGGGCUUUGACUGGCGUCUAUGGGAGAGGAGCCCGUAGGAAGAAGAGAGAGCAGGACAGCUGGGAUUGAGUUGGGCUGAAGCCGGACCGGGGAGGGUGUGGCAAGAGAUGAGGCUGAACCGGUGGGCUGGAGGAGGGGGUCCCAGGAAAAGCAGCUCUGGUCCCACCGUCAGCCCUGCCUUUUAUUAUUAAUCUCUCUUGUGAAUUCAGGUGGGAAAAGGCCUGCUGAGAGUAGUGCCAGAAUUCACAGGAGAAAGAUUCUGUAAUUUCUUUGAGCUCUGUGACUCUGGACAAAGUAUUCAGUAUUAAUGCAGUUGACCAUGACGUCUUCUGUGUGCGCGACUGACAGACCAAAUUACCUUUCCUUAUCUCCUGGCGAGAAAAAAGGACCAUUUUCUUGACAUAUUUCAUAAUCAUUUCACCUGCUUGCCCCCUAUGGAGAGCGCCGGUGACCCGGCCCCCUCCCCUCCCACACAAUGCAGGAAGUAUGUCAUCUAAUAAGCCCAGUUUCUAAAGAAUGUUUUUAAUCUUGGAAUAGUGAGUGUGAUUUUUGAUUGUAUUUUUAAUUCUCUAUCUACUUUUUUAAAAGCACACGCUUUUGUUCUAAUUCUCAUCUUAGCUCAUCAGGGCCAGGAGGAAGCGUGGACAUCUUCCAUUCCAUGGAUCUGCUUAGCAUUUGACAGUGUGGCCCAGGGAAGCCAAAAGAUUGGACACCCCUGUUCUAGAUGAACCUGAGUACACAUUCCUCAUGACCAUGCUGACCAUGAGCUCCACCUCAGGAGGAGCUACACCUUCAUCACCAUCACAGGCAACCUGUGGGCUGGCAUGAUGGUGCCCUGCGUCUGCAGCAGCGGGGCCCCUCGUCCCCUCCAUCACUGCAUAAAACCCUCCUGUCACUUUCCCUCAGGGAGACACUGCUUUGGAGAAUCCUCCCAGGGCUCUUCUUACCUGUGGCGAGUCAUAAAACUCCUACUGAUCCAAACCUGCGUUCUCGUGGAGAGCCGUUUGAGAUUCACCAGAGCAGCAGGGGAGUCGUGACCCCCAGGGGCUCAGUAGAGCAUGAGCCUGGCCAUUGCCAAGCGGCCCGCCCAUGCGUGCUGUGGUUACACGGUCUUCAUGCUGGCUGGGGAGCCCCGAGAACUCGGGUUUGGUUCGUCCUCCAAACACGUGAACACGUGUUGAGCACUGACUGUGAAUUCGGCAGCUGUGAUGGGGGCUGAACUCAGGGCCAAGGAGCCAGGCUCCACUCCACUGUGACACCAGGUGUGGGGCUCGGUGCAGAGCCACACUUUGAACCUGAGAGAGUGGCUGAGCUGGAUGAUUCUCAAAGUGCGCUCUGCGGACCAGCAGCAGCACCACCAGCAGCAGCAUCACCCGGGAACUCAAAGGAAAUGCAGGUUCUCUGGCCUCUGCCGAAUGCACUGAAUCAGAAUCUGCAUUUUAACAAGAUCCCCAGGGUUGAAACCCAGGUUCCAGGCUGUGAGGAAGUCCAGGACACACUGAGAGGUCAUGUGUAGGUGUUCAGGCCAACAGCACAGCCAGGGGCUCAGCUGACAGCCAGCAUCAAUGACCAGAUGUAUGGGUGAGGAGGUCUUCGGAUGACUCCAGGCCAACUCCUAUCUGACUACAGCUACAACUGCACAAAAGAGCCCGAACGAGAAACACUGGCUGAGCCCAGUCAACCCUGGAACCAGAAGAGAUGAUAAUGCCAUCCAGCCCUGAGAUUUGUUUGGAGGGUGACGCGGCCAAGGAUGACACCCACUGCCCCAGAGGCUGGGGGACUGGCAGAUGGAGUCUCACUCUGUCACCCAGGCUGGAG
rnacentral:lncRNA from 1 species